GGUUAAGCGACUAAGCGUACACGGUGGAUGCCCUGGCAGUCAGAGGCGAUGAAGGACGUGCUAAUCUGCGAUAAGCGUCGGUAAGGUGAUAUGAACCGUUAUAACCGGCGAUUUCCGAAUGGGGAAACCCAGUGUGUUUCGACACACUAUCAUUAACUGAAUCCAUAGGUUAAUGAGGCGAACCGGGGGAACUGAAACAUCUAAGUACCCCGAGGAAAAGAAAUCAACCGAGAUUCCCCCAGUAGCGGCGAGCGAACGGGGAGCAGCCCAGAGCCUGAAUCAGUGUGUGUGUUAGUGGAAGCGUCUGGAAAGGCGCGCGAUACAGGGUGACAGCCCCGUACACAAAAAUGCACAUGCUGUGAGCUCGAUGAGUAGGGCGGGACACGUGGUAUCCUGUCUGAAUAUGGGGGGACCAUCCUCCAAGGCUAAAUACUCCUGACUGACCGAUAGUGAACCAGUACCGUGAGGGAAAGGCGAAAAGAACCCCGGCGAGGGGAGUGAAAAAGAACCUGAAACCGUGUACGUACAAGCAGUGGGAGCACAGAGCAAUCUGUGUGACUGCGUACCUUUUGUAUAAUGGGUCAGCGACUUAUAUUCUGUAGCAAGGUUAACCGAAUAGGGGAGCCGAAGGGAAACCGAGUCUUAACUGGGCGUUAAGUUGCAGGGUAUAGACCCGAAACCCGGUGAUCUAGCCAUGGGCAGGUUGAAGGUUGGGUAACACUAACUGGAGGACCGAACCGACUAAUGUUGAAAAAUUAGCGGAUGACUUGUGGCUGGGGGUGAAAGGCCAAUCAAACCGGGAGAUAGCUGGUUCUCCCCGAAAGCUAUUUAGGUAGCGCCUCGUGAAUUCAUCUCCGGGGGUAGAGCACUGUUUCGGCAAGGGGGUCAUCCCGACUUACCAACCCGAUGCAAACUGCGAAUACCGGAGAAUGUUAUCACGGGAGACACACGGCGGGUGCUAACGUCCGUCGUGAAGAGGGAAACAACCCAGACCGCCAGCUAAGGUCCCAAAGUCAUGGUUAAGUGGGAAACGAUGUGGGAAGGCCCAGACAGCCAGGAUGUUGGCUUAGAAGCAGCCAUCAUUUAAAGAAAGCGUAAUAGCUCACUGGUCGAGUCGGCCUGCGCGGAAGAUGUAACGGGGCUAAACCAUGCACCGAAGCUGCGGCAGCGACACUAUGUGUUGUUGGGUAGGGGAGCGUUCUGUAAGCCUGUGAAGGUGUACUGUGAGGUAUGCUGGAGGUAUCAGAAGUGCGAAUGCUGACAUAAGUAACGAUAAAGCGGGUGAAAAGCCCGCUCGCCGGAAGACCAAGGGUUCCUGUCCAACGUUAAUCGGGGCAGGGUGAGUCGACCCCUAAGGCGAGGCCGAAAGGCGUAGUCGAUGGGAAACAGGUUAAUAUUCCUGUACUUGGUGUUACUGCGAAGGGGGGACGGAGAAGGCUAUGUUGGCCGGGCGACGGUUGUCCCGGUUUAAGCGUGUAGGCUGGUUUUCCAGGCAAAUCCGGAAAAUCAAGGCUGAGGCGUGAUGACGAGGCACUACGGUGCUGAAGCAACAAAUGCCCUGCUUCCAGGAAAAGCCUCUAAGCAUCAGGUAACAUCAAAUCGUACCCCAAACCGACACAGGUGGUCAGGUAGAGAAUACCAAGGCGCUUGAGAGAACUCGGGUGAAGGAACUAGGCAAAAUGGUGCCGUAACUUCGGGAGAAGGCACGCUGAUAUGUAGGUGAAGUCCCUCGCGGAUGGAGCUGAAAUCAGUCGAAGAUACCAGCUGGCUGCAACUGUUUAUUAAAAACACAGCACUGUGCAAACACGAAAGUGGACGUAUACGGUGUGACGCCUGCCCGGUGCCGGAAGGUUAAUUGAUGGGGUUAGCGGUAACGCGAAGCUCUUGAUCGAAGCCCCGGUAAACGGCGGCCGUAACUAUAACGGUCCUAAGGUAGCGAAAUUCCUUGUCGGGUAAGUUCCGACCUGCACGAAUGGCGUAAUGAUGGCCAGGCUGUCUCCACCCGAGACUCAGUGAAAUUGAACUCGCUGUGAAGAUGCAGUGUACCCGCGGCAAGACGGAAAGACCCCGUGAACCUUUACUAUAGCUUGACACUGAACAUUGAGCCUUGAUGUGUAGGAUAGGUGGGAGGCUUUGAAGUGUGGACGCCAGUCUGCAUGGAGCCGGCCUUGAAAUACCACCCUUUAAUGUUUGAUGUUCUAACGUUGGCCCCUGAUCGGGGUUGCGGACAGUGUCUGGUGGGUAGUUUGACUGGGGCGGUCUCCUCCUAAAGAGUAACGGAGGAGCACGAAGGUUGGCUAAUCCUGGUCGGACAUCAGGAGGUUAGUGCAAUGGCAUAAGCCAGCUUGACUGCGAGCGUGACGGCGCGAGCAGGUGCGAAAGCAGGUCAUAGUGAUCCGGUGGUUCUGAAUGGAAGGGCCAUCGCUCAACGGAUAAAAGGUACUCCGGGGAUAACAGGCUGAUACCGCCCAAGAGUUCAUAUCGACGGCGGUGUUUGGCACCUCGAUGUCGGCUCAUCACAUCCUGGGGCUGAAGUAGGUCCCAAGGGUAUGGCUGUUCGCCAUUUAAAGUGGUACGCGAGCUGGGUUUAGAACGUCGUGAGACAGUUCGGUCCCUAUCUGCCGUGGGCGCUGGAGAACUGAGGGGGGCUGCUCCUAGUACGAGAGGACCGGAGUGGACGCAUCACUGGUGUUCGGGUUGUCAUGCCAAUGGCACUGCCCGGUAGCUAAAUGCGGAAGAGAUAAGUGCUGAAAGCAUCUAAGCACGAAACUUGCCCCGAGAUGAGUUCUCCCUGACCCUUUAAGGGUCCUGAAGGAACGUUGAAGACGACGACGUUGAUAGGCCGGGUGUGUAAGCGCAGCGAUGCGUUGAGCUAACCGGUACUAAUGAACCGUGAGGCUUAACCUU
rnacentral:rRNA from 1 species